ACUACAGCUAGAACAUACCUGCAGACUUAAAUCUGGGCACCUGGUAACAAAUAAAAUAGACGUCCGCACCCCCAUCGAUGACGUGUUGAGCUUUAUUUGAGAUUCCGAUCCAACAGAUCCUCAUCAGAGCAAUCAGCAUUGCAAUGCCGUGCAGGCAGUAGAGCAUGGAGUACUGCGAGGUCAAUGGAAGACACACUUACUACCAAACAAAGAAUAUAGAAGAAAUACAACCAGGCAGCACCUUAUAGAACAACAUCGACAAAUCUCUACAAAAGUCCACCUCACUGCCCACAUCAGCCACCGGGAAGGAAUAUGUAUGUAUGUACCACAAUCUGCAAUAUCAUCAGUAAUUAUUGUCAUUAUCAAAGCACGUCGUCAGGUCAAGAAGAAAUAAAUACAUAUAUAACAAUAUGAUAACACUGGUUGUUGGUGUACCCCCCCCCUCUCCCCCUGGGGUUAGACGCCCAGCUUGUUGGCGAUGGUCAUGACCACUUUGAGGAUGGGCAUGAAGGCGGAGAUCUCGCUGAAGUUGCUGCUGCUGACCACCUGGGUGUGGACCUCCAGACCCCGCGGGUAGUUCUGGCUCGCCACACAGCGGCUGAUCUCGUGGAGCCCGUUCAGAAUGUUGUGAGAGAGCUGAGAGAUCGGCAGGGAAACAUUACGACAUGUUACGACGUGCCACCGUAAGCCUUUAUAAAGUCAGAAGAUUUACAGUGACCGUGAAGACAUCUUCAAAUGACUAGUUUUGAAGCAUUUCUGCUGGAUCAAUUGUUUCCAUAGUCUGCUUUUGUUAUUUUAAUGAAUGAAUCUGUGAAUAAAAGACCUAUACAA